GAAAAUUGAAAAUUAACGCAUGAAGCAAGAAGGAAAAAUUUAAUAGAAAACGAAACAGAGAUUUACAAUUAUUUCAAAAAAUAUAGAUGUCUUGGUUUAAAUGCUGGUCCAGAUUGGAUAAACAUUGAUUUCAACUGUAUUUUUCCAAAUAAGGGAAAUAAUUUGUUCCACAUUUGGAAAGAUAUUCGCCAGGAAAUUGCACUUUUGCUAAGAAGCAAAUUGAAAAGUAAUGAAGACAAAGAGUCAAUUUACAAUAUUGAAGAAUUGUCAGAAGAGCAACAAGAUGCAGUGGUUCUUUAUUUACUGCCAAAGCUUAUAAGACCAUCAUUUUUGAAAUACGGAGAAGAGCCAAG